CCUACGGGAGGCUGCAGUGGGGAAUAUUGGACAAUGGGGGGAACCCUGAUCCAGCGACGCCGCGUGAGUGAAGAAGUAUUUCGGUAUGUAAAGCUCUAUCAGCAGGGAAGAAAGAAAUGACGGUACCUGACUAAGAAGCCCCGGCUAACUACGUGCCAGCAGCCGCGGUAAUACGUAGGGGGUAAGCGUUAUCCGGAUUUACUGGGUGUAAAGGGGGCGUAGACGGCGAUGCAAGUCUGAAGUGAAAGGCGGGGGCCCAACCCCCGGACUGCUUUGGAAACUGUAUGGCUGGAGUGCAGGAGAGGUAAGUGGAAUUCCUAGUGUAGCGGUGAAAUGCGUAGAUAUUAGGAGGAACACCAGUGGCGAAGGCGGCUUACUGGACUGUAACUGACGUUGAGGCUCGAAAGCGUGGGGAGCAAACAGGAUUAGAUAUCCGGGUAGUC
rnacentral:rRNA from 1 species